rnacentral:rRNA from 1 species
UGGGAAUUUUGGACAAUGGGCGCAAGCCUGAUCCAGCCAUGCCGCGUGCGGGAAGAAGGCCUUCGGGUUGUAAACCGCUUUUGUCAGGGAAGAAAUCUUCUGAGUUAAUACCUCGGGAGGAUGACGGUACCUGAAGAAUAAGCACCGGCUAACUACGUGCCAGCAGCCGCGGUAAUACGUAGGGUGCAAGCGUUAAUCGGAAUUACUGGGCGUAAAGCGUGCGCAGGCGGUUUUGUAAGACAGAGGUGAAAUCCCCGGGCUCAACCUGGGAACUGCCUUUGUGACUGCAAGGCUUGAGUGCGGCAGAGGGGGGCAUGGAAAUUUCCCGCGUGUAGCAGUGAAAUUGCGUAGAUAUGCGGAGGAACACCGAUGGCGAAGGCAAUUCCCCUGGGCCUGCANUGACGCUCAUGCA